CAGGCCCGUAGCGACCGCUGCCGAUCGCGAGAGGAUCUCUCCUUAGAGUCGGGUUGCUUGAGAGUGCAGCCCUAAGUGGGUGGUAAACUCCAUCUAAGGCUAAAUAUGACCACGAGACCGAUAGCGAACAAGUACCGUGAGGGAAAGUUGAAAAGCACUUUGAAGAGAGAGUUCAAGAGUACGUGAAACCGUUUAGGGGUAAACCUGAGAAACCCGAAAGGUCGAAGGGAGAAAUUCAUUCGCGUUUCGUGGCAGGCGUUCGGCGAUCGAGCGACGGAAAUGCGUUCGCGCGUCUUUCCGCACCUUUCGUCGGUACGAACCGGCAACGAACGCGUGCACUUUUCUCCCGGUAGGACGUCGCGAUCCGUCGGGUGUCGGUCUACGGCUUGCGGUGGAGCCCGUCCGUCGUCGUUUUUCGACGUACGAAUGGACCCGCGUGGCCCGGCCGACCCGCUCGACGGUAUACGAAAGGUUUAAGGCCGCUCUUUUGGAGCGUUCGACUCGUGCAAGCGCGUCAGCCGUGUCGGCGAUCGGACCUAGUGCCGAUUCCGACCUCUGGCGACUGUUGCCGCGAAGUUCUCGAACAGACCUUAGGACCGAUCCGCGACGCUAUAGCUUUGGGUACUUUCAGGACCCGUCUUG
rnacentral:rRNA from 1 species